CAGCUAAUACUCAUGUGUGUCAUAGUAUAAAAGGAAGGCGCAUCUUUUGACUGAUUAUACUUCAGCCUAGGACAUACAGCUUCUUCUAAUUUCUGUUUAGAAUGGUGUAUAUAUAUAUCUCUCUAUAUAUCUUUCCUUGACCAAAAGUGGGCCAAGAGCAUAAAUAAAGAAGUCUACAUACAACUUUAUUUCUGCAAAACAUGUUGUAAUCAAAUUCUGUAUACUACUGACUUUUUAACUCCAUUGUAAAUACUUUUCUCACACAAGCACUUACCAAAACCAGGGUUGAAACAGGUGUGUUACUCUAUCUACAGCUGUUCUAUAUGACAGAAGGCAUAAAUAAAAUAUAAAAGAAAAGAAAAAAUGAAAAGCCUGUUUGAUUUCUUCCACAGCUGCAGAGCAUGUCAAACCAGUUUCUGAUAGCAAGAAAGGGUAGAAGUCAAAAUUCAACGUAUAUGACUUCAGGGGAGAAUUUUCUGAUGAUUUAGAGAAUGUAUGUUACCUUCACACUACUAUUGCUUUCAAAUGUCCCUUGCUAGGAUUGUAGCUACACAACAGACAUCCUGAAUAAUCUAUUGGAGUAAAUUCAGCAAACUACCUAAAGCAACUCUUCAAAUGUAGAAGAUGUAUGUGCAAACAAAUUAAAAAUUCACAAGAAUUGUCAUCCUCUUUCAUCUUAAUCAGAUGGCAUGUUUGUCAUAAUUAUUUUUUUCAUUAACAUUUGAUGAAUAUUAACUUUACGAAAUAGAACAAUCUUGCUCCUGAAAAAAUCAAGUGGAGCUCUGCAAGGCCAAAGCCAAAGGCACUCUGUGCCUUUGAUGCAUCAGUGCUGAGGGCACGGCAGAUCAACAACAGGAGUCUCCCCAGCUUUGAGGACUUUGCAUGUGGACUAUUGCCAGAUGAUCCU
rnacentral:lncRNA from 1 species